CUUGCCGGUUCCCCUCUUUCCACUGGGAUUUUCUGCCUCUAACCCUAUUACAGGGGCUGAGUCCCUGGCUUACUGGUGCUCUUCCAUGCUGUCCCUAGGAGGGGUGCGUCACUUGAGUGGGUUGAGUCACUGACGUGGUCUUCCUGUCUGGGUUGGCGUCCCCCCUUGGGUUGUGCCGUGGUGGAGAUCUUUGUGGGCUAUACUCAGCCUUGUCUCAGGAUGGACCUGAGCCCUAGGACCAUGCCUCAGGACUACCUGGCAUGAUGGCUCCUUGUUGUCCCCAGUCCACCUGGUUGUGCUGCUGCUCCAGUUUCAACUGUUCUGCCUGUGGCUUACGAACCCUGACCUGUUCACUGUGAUUACUAUUAUUUGACCAUGCUGGUCAUUUAUGAACAUCUUGGCCAUGUUCUGUUAUAAUCUCCACCCGGCACAGCCAGAAGAGGACUGGCCACCCCUCAU
ensembl:lncRNA